rnacentral:misc_RNA from 1 species
UGAAUGCUGGUACCUUGCUUGCAGGAAUGUUGAUUUCUUCUCCAGUUUGUGGGUUGCGGCCCUUACGUGCAGCACGUUGACGUACUUCGAAGUUACCGAAGCCGAUCAAUUGAACCUUUUCACCCUUAGCUAAAGAUGCUUGAAUUG